rnacentral:rRNA from 1 species
AUUGAACGCUGGCGGCAGGCCUACACAUGCAAGUCGAGCGAGCGGCGGACGGGUGAGUAAUGUCUGGGAAACUGCCUGAUGGAGGGGGAUACCUACUGGAAACGGUAGCUAAUCCCGCAUACCAUCCGAUUUGCCCAGAUGGGAUUAGCCAGUAGGUGGGGUAACGGCUACCCUAGGCGACGAUCCCUAGCGGGUCUGAGAGUAUGACCAGCCACACUGGAACUGAGACACGGUCCAGACUCCUACGGGAGGCAGCAGUGGGGAAUAUUGCACAAUGGGCGCAAGCCUGAUGCAGCCAUGCCGCGUGUAUGAAGAAGGCCUUCGGGUUGUAAAGUACUUUCAGCGGGGAGGCGUUACCCGCAGAAGAAGCACCGGCUAACUCCGUGCCAGCAGCCGCGGUAAUUC